GACGAACGCUGGCGGCGCGCCUAACACAUGCAAGUCGAACGAGCGAGAGAGAGCUUGCUUUCUCAAGCGUGUGGCGAACGGGUGAGUAACGCGUGAGGAACCUGCCUCAAAGAGGGGGACAACAGUUGGAAACGACUGCUAAUACCGCAUAAGCCCACAGGUCGGCAUCGACCAGAGGGAAAAGGAGCAAUCCGCUUUGAGAUGGCCUCGCGUCCGAUUAGCUAGUUGGUGAGGUAACGGCCCACCAAGGCAACGAUCGGUAGCCGGACUGAGAGGUUGAACGGCCACAUUGGGACUGAGACACGGCCCAGACUCCUACGGGAGGCAGCAGUGGGGAAUAUUGCACAAUGGGGGAAACCCUGAUGCAGCGACGCCGCGUGGAGGAAGAAGGUCUUCGGAUUGUAAACUCCUGUUGUUGAGGAAGAUAAUGACGGUACUCAACAAGGAAGUGACGGCUAACUACGUG
rnacentral:rRNA from 1 species